rnacentral:rRNA from 1 species
UACGGAGGGGACUAGCGUUGUUCGGAAUUACUGGGCGUAAAGCGCACGUAGGCGGAUUUGUAAGUCAGGGGUGAAAUCCCGGGGCUCAACCUCGGAACUGCCUUUGAUACUGCAAAUCUCGAGUCCGGGAGAGGUGAGUGGAAUUCCUAGUGUAGAGGUGAAAUUCGUAGAUAUUAGGAAGAACACCAGUGGCGAAGGCGGCUCACUGGUCCGGUACUGACGCUGAGGUGCGAAAGCGUGGGGAGCAAACAGG